CGAGAACUUCUAAUAUAAGAUGACGCCGCUCUUUUCCCUCUUAAGAUAUGGUUAGACGAUUAUAGAGAAGGAGCGAAAUGCUUACCUUCUGUUUCCCCGCUCCUUUAACAAAGGCUUUCGUCACUUCACCUUCUCUCUUCUUCGUUUUCUUCCCUCCAAACCCUAAGAUUACAGCCUGUCCUCCUUUUGCGUCUACUUCUAGGAUUUCAAGAAUCCUUAGAGCCACUUCUACUUCCACCGGAGUAUCAAUUUCCGACGGAAACGACGAGGCUCUUGCCGGUCAUAGGAACAAUUACAGCGGCGUGCGGUUGGAGGAGACUGUGGCUGUCGAUUCUCGCAAGCUCAGGCUCGAUUCUUGGAUUUCUUCUCGAGUUAGCGGCAUCAGUAGAGCGCGCGUUCAGUCCAGCAUCCGAUCCGGACUUGUUAGUGUUAAUGGCCGGAUCGUUGAUAAGGUUUCGCAUAAUGUCAAAGCUGGUGACAGAGUGAAUUGCACAAUUUCGGAGUUGCAACCGUUGAGAGCCGAACCUGAAAAUAUACCUUUGGAUAUUGUCUAUGAAGAUGAUCACGUUCUCGUUGUUAACAAACCAGCACACAUGGUUGUUCAUCCAGCACCUGGAAAUGCUACAGGAACAUUAGUAAAUGGAAUUCUUCACCAUUGCAGCCUACCAACGGUUGCAUUUUCAAAUCACGAUGGUCUUUCUGAUUCUGAGGAUAAUUGUGAUGAUGGAUUAGGCUACUUCUCUGUGGAUCAAAGUUCUAGCACAUGUCAAGCAUCCGUGCGUCCAGGAAUUGUGCACAGAUUGGACAAAGGAACUAGUGGAUUGCUUGUUGUUGCAAAAAAUGAACUUUCUCAUGCACAUUUAUCUGAUCAAUUCAAGUUACACACAAUCCAUAGAGUAUACAUAAGUCUUACAUCUGGAGUACCAUCUCCCCUUGCUGGACGUGUUGAUAUUCCGAUUGGUCGUGAUUCAAACAAUCGGAUUCGUAUGACUGCUAUACCAGGACCAAUUAAAAGUAAACAGGGACGGCAUGCUGCUAGUAGGUACAAAGUAAUUGAAGUACUUGCUGGUGGUGGUUCUGCAUUGGUUGAGUGGAGAUUGGAAACUGGGCGCACUCAUCAGAUCCGUGCACAUGCAAAGCAUUUGGGUAUUCCUCUAUUAGGCGAUGAGUUGUAUGGAGGGACCAAGAGCAUGGCUUUGUCACUACUUUGGCCCAGAACGCCUUCUAGCUGUCAUGGCCAACUUUCACAGUUGGUCUCUGAGUUUGAGAGGCCAUGUCUUCAUGCUAUGGCUCUGAGGUUUAAACAUCCACAUACAGGGAAGAACAUACACUUUUCAUGCCCACCACCUUCAGAUUUUGCUGAGAUAUUGAACCAACUCCGUAAAUUUAGCACUGCAAAGCCAUGAUUCUAGGAACGGCUAAAUUCUUUUGUUUACCCUUUCUGGGUGCUAGCUUUCCACAAGCAACCUGAUGGGAUGGAGAUUACCAGUAGUGGUAGAAACUAAGCAGACCACUCAAGCCCGUAAAAAGGUACUAGUGAAGAGGGUAGCGAGCUAGAGUUGAUCAUCUUCUGACUUCAAUACUGGGCUCUCUAAAUCAAGCAACUGAGCAAGAGGGGCGCCCAAAAUGUUGACGCCCUUAAUUAAUCUCUUUCGAAAAGGAUGAAAAAUAGGUCAUCAUAAAUAUCAUGCUUGUGGGAGUAUUUUUUAUCUAUCGCAUCGCAAGUUCUCUUCCCAAAGAUGGUUCUGUUGGGAAAAUGGUUUCCCCUACAGGAGUCCGAACUGUUGAUCCAAGAAAAAUAAAAUAAAAUAAAAAAUAAAAUAUAUUACACUAUAUAUUUUUAAAAUUUUUUUUAUUAUAAUCGAAUAUUUUUGUAUUUAUAUUUUUUACAUUAUUGGAUAUUUUCGUAUUUA